rnacentral:rRNA from 1 species
UACGUAGGUGGCAAGCGUUGUUCGGAAUUAUUGGGCGUAAAGGGCUCGUAGGCGGUUUGUCACGUCGGGAGUGAAAACUCGGGGCUUAACCCCGGGCCUGCUUCCGAUACGGGCUGACUAGAGGUAUGCAGGGGAGAACGGAAUUCCUGGUGUAGCGGUGAAAUGCGCAGAUAUCAGGAGGAACACCGGUGGCGAAGGCGGUUCUCUGGGCAUUACCUGACGCUGAGGAGCGAAAGUGUGGGGAGCGAACAGG